rnacentral:rRNA from 1 species
GGCUUAUUGAAGAUAAUUUUAGGUCUGACCUGCCCUAUGAUGAAAAUUAAAUGGCUGCGGUAAUUUGACCGUGCAAAGGUAGCAUAAUCACUAGUUUUUUAAUUGAAAGCUUGUAUGAAGGGUUUGAUGAAAAAAUAGCUGUCUCUAUUUAGAUUUUAAAAUUUUAUUUUUAAGUAAAAAAGCUUAAAUAAUUGUAGAAGACGAGAAGACCCUGUAGAGUUUUAUAAUUAUUUUAAUAAUUAAAAUUUAGAAUUAUAGUAUUUAUUAAGAUAAUUAUUUAGUUGGGGUGAUUGAAAAAUUGAAGUAACUUUUUCUUAAAAAAAACAUUAAUUUAUGAUUAAUUGAUCCUUAAUUUAAGAUUAUAAGAUAAAAUUACCUCAGGGAUAACAGCGUAAUUUUUUUUAGAGUUCUUAUCGAAAAAAAAGAUUGCGACCUCGAUGUUGGAUUAAAGUAAGUUAUAGGUGUAGAAGCUUAUAAAUUAGGUCUGUUCGACCUUUAAAUCUUUACAUGAUCUGAGUUUAAACCGGUGUAAG